rnacentral:lncRNA from 1 species
CAACAGGGAUGCUGCCCCAGCUAGCAGGACUGUAUCCUUUUUCUGGGCAGGUUCACCUUGACCUUUGAAGUGCUGGGGCCAGGUCAGGGAAGGGAUCACCCUGACCAGAGGUGGAAACCUUAGGUGAAAAUGAGGAGUCACAAGCCCAGAGAUCCAGGAAGGACAGGCCUUCAGCUUGUUUCCCUAUCUCUUUGGUGGAUCCUUCCCAUUAGAGGAGAACCCGGAAUGAGGACGCAUCUGAGG